rnacentral:rRNA from 1 species
UGUGUAGGUGGAAAAGUAAGUGUUUUGUGAAAUCCCUCGGCUCAACCGAGGAAUUGCUUGGCAUACUGCUUUUCUUGAGGCAAGUAGGGGUACGUGGAACUCUUGGUGGAGCGGUGGAAUGCGUAGAUAUCAAGAGGAACGCCGAUGGUGAAGACAACGUACUGGGCUUGUCCUGACACUGAGACACGAAAGCGUGGGGAGCAAACAGGAUUAGAUACCCUGGUAGUCC